rnacentral:rRNA from 1 species
AAUUUUUAGAUUAUUUAAAGCUAUAAUUAUUUUUUAGUUUAAAAUAGUAAUUUUUUUUUAGUUAUAAUAAAUUAUGUUAGUUAUAGAAAAAUAGUACCGUGAGGGAACAUUUUAAUUGUAUAAUAGAAAAAUUAAGUUUUUGUACCUUGUGUAUCAGGGUUUAUUAAAAUAGUUAAUAUAAAUUUUUAUCUCGAAAUUAAAAGAGCUAUAAGUAUAUUUAUUUAAAUGUUGAAUAAUUUUUUGUAAUAUAUUUAUUGAAGUGAAAUGCUAUGCGAUUUUUAUGAUAUCUGGUUAUUUAAGAGGAUAAUUUAAUUUGAUUUUUAUAUAUUAUGGAUUAAUUUGUUAAUUUAUUAUUAUAAAAGGGAAGUUUUCAAGGGAUAAGCUUUGAAUAUAAAUAUAAUUUAUUUUGGUUGGUUAAUUUAUCUAGGAUUAGAAGUUUAAAUGAAUAUAUUGUGUAAUAACUAUAAUUGAGUUUAGAAAGAUUUAAAUUUUAUUUAUUUUUAUAUUAAAUUAUUAUAUAUAAUCAAAAAUUUUAAGUAUUAAUGAUAGAAUUAGUAAAGUUUGUUUUAAUUAGUUGUUAAAAUGAAAGGUUUUAUAAAGGAACUAGGCAAAUGAAUUUUUUACCUGUUUAAUAAAAACAUGGCCUUUUGAUUAUGAUUUAAGGUCUGACCUGCUCAAUGAGUUUUAAAUAGCCGCAGUAUUCUGACUGUGCAAAGGUAGCAUAAUAAUUAGUUUCUUGAUUAGAAGCUUGCAUGAAUGGUUGGAUAAGAAAAAGACUGUCUCUAUAAAAUUUAAAUUGAACUUUAUUUUUAAGUGAAAAAGCUUAGAUAAUAAUAAAAGACGAGAAGACCCUAUAGAGUUUUAUAUUCUUAAUUUUUAGUUUUAUUAGAAUAAAAAUUAUUAAAUUUUAAGAUUAAUUAGUUGGGGUGACUAGGAAAUUUAAAUAACUUUUAUGAUUAAUACCAUGGAUAUAUGAGUUUAUGAUCCUUAUUUUAAGAUUAAAAGAGAAAAUUACCUUAGGGAUAACAGCAUAAUUUCAUUAAGAAGUUCUUAUUUAAGAUGAAGUUUGUGACCUCGAUGUUGGAUUAAAAUUAAAUUCUGGUGCAGAAGCUGGAAGAUUAGGUCUGUUCGACCUAUAAUAUUUUACAUGAUCUGAGUUUAAACCGGCGUGAGCCAGGUUGGUUUCUAUCUUUAUUAUAUAAAAUAAUUUAGUACGAAAGGACCAAUUAUUUAAUUAAUAAUUUUUAUUGUGAAUAAUUUUAAAU